UAGGUACUUCCUCCGUUUCGAAUUACUUGUCUUAGAUUUGUCUAGAUACAAAUGUAACUACACUCAUUUUAAUGCUAGAAACCUUCGUAUCUAGACAAAUCUAAAACAAGUAAUUCGGAACGGAGAGAGUAGCUU
rfam:Triticum urartu cultivar G1812 contig1044038, whole genome shotgun sequence.